rnacentral:hammerhead_ribozyme from 1 species
AUACUACUGAUGAGUCCCACAAUAGGAUGAAAUGGCCGUCCAGUAC